UCUACAAUAUCAAGUCAAGACUUCUGCAGAAUAUCUCCAUCAUCCAGAUACUUCUCCAAGAGAAUGUGAAGAUCUGUGGCAAUAAACAGCACCAAGGUUACCAUAGUCAGCUGGAUCCAGUCAGUGUCCAGAGCAGAUGGCGGACCUGCACCCAGGAAUGACCACAACACAGCCCUCCAUGGCCAGAAAAAACCUCGAUGAGACAAGCCCUCAGGACAGAUCUUCAGCAAAGACCCAUCCUGUCAUCCUGGUCCUCAGCGAAGACCUCAGCAACUAGAAGAGCUCUCGGCACAGAUCCCAACAGCCAGCUAUGAACGAGUCAUGCCAGGACCAGCUAGGACCGUUGCACAGUUUUAUCAAGAAGGUCAUUCAUCAUGCUUAAGGCCACUGAUAAAUUAGUUGUCUACUACCGGCUGAACGGCAGCUCUACCUUCAUAUUUCAACCUGCUGCAUCUCCUUUUCCUACCUAACGCCAGUGUAAUGUAUCCUAAUCAAUACCACAUUGUGUUUGUUUGCUUGGGCCAGAGGAGAACUGGUCCCUGAGCCUGGUUUCUCCCAAGGUUUUUUCUCUAUUCUGCCACCUGAUAGAGUUUGAGUUCCUUGCCACUGUCACCUUUGCUUACUUAUUUGGGGUCUGAAAGACACUUAUCUUUCAGAAAUGUAUAAAUGAAACUGCACUGAGACCAUCGGAUGACAUUGCUGCCUUCUGUAGAACUGCAUAUAUAACACACUGAACUGAAUUGAGGUAAAUAAUGAUGCUAUUGCCUUUUAGGGCUUCAUAUACGCAUGGUCAGUAAUACUGAAUGAAUUUCAUUAUCAUCACAUACCUUUAAUUCCAAAUCAGCUUAGCUAAAAAUAGCUUCUUGUCAUUGACAUUUGAUUAUCAUUUGAUUAUAUUAAAAUAUAUUUAUAAAUAAUUGUAUAAUUUGGAAAAUUCUUAUUUGCAGAGCUGAUAGUGGAAGGGAGUGGAAGAGAGAAGAGGAAGAGAGAUUUAAAAAAAAUAAUUAAAUGUCAUGUGUCAAUGUGUUGAUGU